GAAUCUCUCCGGUGGCCUAGUGGUUAGAGCGUUCGCCUCGGAUCGGAUGCGGGAGGUGGUGGGUUCGAACCCCGACUGAUUCA